rnacentral:lncRNA from 9 species
CACAAAUGAUACUGUGUUGGAGUCAGGACUCAAGCCCAACCCGUGUGACUACUACAGCCACCCUCUGGGUAGACAGCUCCCUGGGACCCGUGUCUGAUGAGAGCCCACAGGUCAACAGGAGGGUUCUUCCAACCAGGAUCUGAAGGUAAACCAUGACUAUUCUCAUGAACACGCUCUGGAUAAUGGCUGCUAUUUAAUCACGUCCACUGUUGCAUCUCUUUCUCUCUGAUAACUUCUGUUUUAAUUUUCUCCUUUAGUGAUAGAAAAAGAGCAAAGUAAAAUUUAGCAUAUUUUUCUCCUAGUACUUUGUCAUUAAACUAUAAUUCUAAACUUUUCCCACCCUGUUUCGUAACAGCAGAUAAACCCCUAACCAUAUAAAUCUUACGUGAAACUAACAAUGUCAUAUGCCAAUUACAAGUCAAUUUUAAAAAAUUUUUUUAAUUUUAAAAAUGUGUAAAAGACAUACAUCUCAUAAAAAUCCAACAAAUGUAUGGUCAGGUCCCAUGUAUAUAAAAUGGCAUAAUGCUUUCUAUCUCAUAUAGUCAUGGUACAGAUGAAGUUAUAUUGCAUGUGUUGAAUAUCUUGCACAGAAUAGAUGCUCAGGAAAUGGCAGCUGUUAUUUCCUAUGAUUAGUAUUUUUAAAGCUGUCAAUUCAAGAGCAGGAUAGGGCCUGAUAAUGCUGAGAACAUCAAUGAUACUGCUUAGCUUGUUAUGCUGCUUUAUAAUUUCCAGUGCAUUUUUGUGUGAAUUGUCACACAGCCACCCUGUAAGGUAGAUGGAUAGUGUGAUUGUAUUAGUGUUUUAUUGCUACAUAACAAAUUGCCACAAAUUAGUGAAGUAAACAACAUAAAUUUAUCUUACUGUUCUGUGUGUCAGAAUUCCAACAAGGAUGUCAGCAGGCUAAAAUCAUGGUGUAGGCAGCUGGGCUGUUUCCUUCUAGAGAUGCUAGGGGAGAGUUCGAUUCCUUGCUCAUUCCGGUUGUGGGCAGAAUUGAGUUUCUUGUAGCUGUAGGACUAAGGUCCCCUCCUUGCUGACUGUCAACUGAGAGCCGUUACGCCUUCCGAAGUCUGCCCCGUUCCUUGGCUUAUAGCCUCUUCAUUCCAUCCAUGCCAGCAACAUUCAUGCGAGUUCCACUCCUUUUUCAAAUCUCUCCUUUCUCACCUGUCGUAACAUCUCUCUGAUUUGAGCCAGGAAAAGUUUCCAGGUUUUAAAUGCUUGUGUGAAUCGCUUGGGCCCCCUUGAAGACUCCAGAAUAAUGUUCCAGUUCAAGGUCCCUAUCUUUAAUUACAUCUGCAAAACCAGUUUUAUUGUGGCCACAUGCACAGGUUCCCGGGAUUAAGGCAUGGACAUUUUAGCAGGGCUUCAUUAAUUUUCCUUCCACACUUAUUAUCCUCAUUUUACAGAUAAGGGUGAUGAAGAUCAAAAAAGAUAAGAGACGUGCAGAGGACAUACAGCAAGCAGCAAAGAAUGGUCUCAAAUCCCAAAAUUGUUUUACUUCAAACUCAAGUCAGUGUUCUUUCAACAAUUUUUUUAUCUGAAAGGCAACUCUGCAUUUUUUCUCUUGCAUCUUCACUCACUCCCCACCCACAUGUAAACCCAUAAUUCCAUUUAUCUAUGUUUAAGGCUGACAUUCUUGUGGAAUUAAUGCAUUUUCCAGAGCUUCCGCAAAGAAGCCAAAAUUUAGUUGCACUUCCAGAGAUUUUGAUGUAAUUUCUUUCAAAACUUAAACUAUUGAAAGUCUUAUCUGCCAACAAUUGGAUACUUUGAACUAGAGCUAUAAAGAAAAUAUAUUUCAUGAUGGGCUGAGUGCUAAAAGAAGUUUACUUCAUGGUACAGGUUGUUUAUCUCACAAUUUUUCUCAAAAGAUGUACUUAAUAAUUUGAUACAAAACUGUUCAGUGUUCACUAGAACUGGUCACUUUGUAAUUCUAGAAACUAAUAUUUUUAGCCUCCUUUCUUUUUUUUUUUUUUUUUUGUCUUUUCUAGGGCCGCUCCCACGGCAUAUGGAGAUUCCCAGGCUGGGGGUCUAAUCAGAGCUGUAGCCACCGGCCUACGCCAGAGCUACAGCAACUCGGGAUCUGAGCUGCAUCUGCAACCUACACCACAGCUCACGGCAACGUGGGAUCCUUAACUGAGCAAGGCCAGGGAUCGAACCUGCAACCUCAUAGUUCCUGGUCAGAUUCAUUAACCACUGCGCCAUGAUGGGAAUUCCUAGCUUCCUUU